GGUUCCUGUGUUGCCUUCCCAUCAUGUGGAAAACUUUUGUGAGAUAGCCCCGCCCCUUUCCUCCUUGUGGCUUUGCGGCUGCAAAGUGGACCUCGAAAGCAGACCCCGUGUCCCGGACAUGUCCUCUGACUGUUGUCGUGGCUGUCUCGGUGCACAGGACAACUGCUCGCGCUCUCGGAUGUGGAAAAUUAAGCGGACAUGGGGGGGUCUCGGCCUCCGGUUGCUCCCAAUCAAGUCCCUCGAUAGGAAUGACUUUCGAUACCCUCAUUGCCCGCGGGCCGUCCAGGCCCGUGGCAGCAGAUGAGGGUCCGAAGUCGAGAAAGGAUGCUACCUGGUUGAUCCUGCCAGUAGUCAUAUGCUUGUCUCAAAGAUUAAGCCAUGCAU
rnacentral:misc_RNA from 1 species